CGGAGGGUGCGAGCGUUGUCCGGAAUCACUGGGCGUAAAGGGCGCGUAGGCGGCCUGUUAAGUCGAACGUGAAAUCCCCCGGGCUCAACCCGGGAACUGCGUCCGAUACUGGCAGGCUUGAAUCCGGGAGAGGGAUGCGGAAUUCCAGGUGUAGCGGUGAAAUGCGUAGAUAUCUGGAGGAACACCGGUGGCGAAGGCGGCAUCCUGGACCGGUAUUGACGCUGAGGCGCGAAAGCCAGGGGAGCAAAGCGGG
rnacentral:rRNA from 1 species